rnacentral:rRNA from 1 species
CCUACGGGAGGCAGCAGUGAGGAAUAUUGGUCAAUGGGCGCGAGCCUGAACCAGCCAAGUAGCGUGAAGGAUGAAUGCCCUACGGGUUGUAAACUUCUUUUAUAAAGGAAUAAAGUGAGGCACGUGUGCCUUUUUGUCUGUACUUUAUGAAUAAGGAACGGCUAACUCAGUGCCAGCAGCAGCGGUAAUACGGAGGAUCCGAGAGUUAUCAGGAUUUAUUGGGGUUAAAGGGAGCGUAGAUGGGUUGUUAAGUCAGUUUUGAAAGUUUGCGGCUAAACCGUAAAAUUGCAAUUGAUACUGGCAGUCUUGAGUACAGUUGAGGUAGGCGGAAUUCGUGGUGUAGCGUUGAAAUGCUUAGAUAUCACGAAGAACUCCGAUUGCGAAGGCAGCUUACUAAACUGCCACUGCCAUUGAUGCUCGAAAGUGUGGGUAUCAAACAGGAGUAGAUACCCCAGUAGUC